AAUAUACCAGUAGUGCAUCCUACAUGUGACUGUUGCUAUGGUGUAAAUGCAUUAUCUGGUAUAUGAC
rnacentral:pre_miRNA from 1 species